GGAACACAUUUCAAUUUUCAAGUUUAUAAGUAAAAAAUCAUACAUAUAACUCAAGCAUUGCAAUAAGAAAAAUUUUACAACUUGCAAAGUAAGAAUUAUGAAACUGAGUCUAUUAGUCUAGCAACAAACUUUUGACAUUAAUUGACGAUGCGUUGCUUAGAUAAAUUUUCCUCACUGCUGCUAGAAAAAUCUGAUAAUAAGGAAAGGAUGUUUCAAAAAAAGAAAAGAUCUUCAAAACAUAUUUUCCUGCUAAUAUCAUUUGUCUAGUCAUAUAUAAGAACAGAGGAAAAACAUUGUUGAGUUUGUGUGCAUAGGGACAGAAAUUCUCCAACACAUUAUGCUUUCCCAAUCCAACACACUGAUAUUAAAAGAUGGCCAAGAAGGUAGUGGCGGAACUAGGAAUUAGCGUUAAGGGGGCGAAAAUCUUAUAAUUUUUUUCCCUAUUGUGAAAAAUGAGUAGUCACUCUCAAUUUGAGUUA
rnacentral:misc_RNA from 1 species